rnacentral:tRNA from 1 species
AGAAAAGUAUUUAAAAUUUAAUAAAAUCUAAUUUGCAAUUAGAAAUUGUGGGAACCUUUUCUA